CCAAGCUCAAGAAGGCCAGCCGCAAAGUGGUGGCCGUGCACAAUCCCUGGAGGAAACAAAGAGACCCGACUGGAUUCACGACUGGAAGCAUGAGACCACAAGGGAGGAUUUGUAAUUACCUUCCUACUCCUCACUCAACUGGACCCCAAAAUACACUGAAAACAUGUCAAAACACCAGCUAAGGUGAUGAGCUAUUCCUUUUGUCCUCUUUUUUGGUCUUUUGAAUUACUCAACUUAGCUUUGACCGGGGUCACAGCUGUAAACCUUCAAAGAUAACAGAUAACUUUAACGAGAACGCCGAAAUCGAGUAUCUCCGACAAGCCAUGCUCGCCCAAAAUGAGAAAUAAAAACUGUCGCGAUAUUAUGAAGCACUUUGGUGUUUUAGAAACAAUGAGACUGUUGCGUCCCAGAACUAUCGAACAACGCUCUGCAACCAUAUGCCAAGAAAGAUAAGUUAUAAACAUGACGAAAUCAAGGACGAACCCUUCCGCCACAACCGCUUCCAGGAGGAAUAUAAACACAAGAAGUGUAUAUAAACACAAGCUUACCCGGGCAUUUGUGCAGAAGCGCCAUGGGUCUCACGAAGAGCAACCUCUGGUACACAAUCGUGGCUUCCAUUUUUGUUCUUACAGCGGCCGCUCCACACAAGAAAGUGAGUAUUAGAACUGAAUGUUGGUUGUCGCCAAAGGACAUUUUCCACUCAUCAUCCCUGCACAGGCAUACAUCGUUUACAUGGGUGAGAAAUCGCACAAAGACCAUAAUGUCGUGCACGCACAAGUUCAUUCCUUCCUGGCGGAUACACUCGGAACGUAAGACAUUAGAUGCUUUCUAAACAUGCAUACCCAUACCUUUGGUUGAAUUGUUGAUACAGCCUUGAGGAAGCGCAGAGGAAUAUGAUACACACCUACAAGCGCAGCUUCACUGGGUUUUCGGCCAUGCUCACCGACGACCAAGCUGCACAGAUAAAAAGUACGAGUUAAUAAGAAGGACAAUAUGUAUAUGCUUACCUUUGGUCGCAGGGAGAGAAGAGGUUGUUUCGAUUUUCCCAAGCAAGAGUCACAAGCUCCAUACAACCCAUUCCUGGGACUUUUUGAAUACCAUCGACUCUUUCCCGGCGCAGAACAGCGAUCCCAGUGGUUGUGAGGCCUCUGGCCAAGACAUUAUUGUUGGCGUCUUUGACUCUGGUAAAUAACGAGUUUAUCAAGAUACACAUACCAAACCAUCAAGUUCUGCAGGUAUCUGGCCGGAGUCCAAGAGCUUCAACGACGUAGGCAUGCCACCGAUACCAAGAAAAUGGAAGGGAGCUUGCCAGGAUGGAGAACAGUUCACUGCACGUAAUUGCAACAAGUAAGAAGUCAAACUCCGAAACUAUUGUUUUCAGACGAUCUCACAUGGAUGCCAAAAUGCCAGCAAGUUGAUUGGAGCACGCUUUUACACAAACGGAUACGAUGCCAGCGACCCUGAGCUGCAAAAAACCUUCAUCAAAUCUGCACGGGAUACGGACGGACACGGGACACAUACCACGUCAACUGCAGCGGGAAGGAUUGUCAACGGCAUAAGCUUCCCGGGAGGCCUUGGAGCUGGAGCUGCUAGGGGAGGAAGUCCAAACUCGAG
rnacentral:lncRNA from 1 species